rnacentral:rRNA from 1 species
GACGAGCGCUGGCGGCGUGCCUAAUACAUGCAAGUCGAACGCUUCUUUCCUCCCGAGUGCUUGCACUCAAUUGGAAAGAGGAGUGGCGGACGGGUGAGUAACACGUGGGUAACCUACCCAUCAGAGGGGGAUAACACUUGGAAACAGGUGCUAAUACCGCAUAACAGUUUAUGCCGCAUGGCAUAAGAGUGAAAGGCGCUUUCGGGUGUCGCUGAUGGAUGGACCCGCGGUGCAUUAGCUAGUUGGUGAGGUAACGGCUCACCAAGGCCACGAUGCAUAGCCGACCUGAGAGGGUGAUCGGCCACACUGGGACUGAGACACGGCCCAGACUCCUACGGGAGGCAGCAGUAGGGAAUCUUCGGCAAUGGACGGAAGUCUGACCGAGCAACGCCGCGUGAGUGAAGAAGGUUUUCGGAUCGUAAAACUCUGUUGUUAGAGAAGAACAAGGACGUUAGUAACUGAACGUCCCCUGACGGUAUCUAACCAGAAAGCCACGGCUAACUACGUG